UAUGGAAGACACUGUGUAUGUUGGAUAACUCAGGUGGCAAUACCAAAUGAUAGACGAUAGCUCCCACUCUAUCCAAUAUUUCAAAAGGUCGAAUAAAUCUAGGACUGGGUUUUUCUUUCCUCCUAAAUCUCAUUAUCCCUUUCAUUGGUGAGAUUUUCAAAAAUAGAUGGUCGCCUACUUCGAAUUCUAAAUCGUUUCUCCAAUUGUCGGCAUAAUUUUUUUGCCUACU
rnacentral:lncRNA from 1 species